rnacentral:rRNA from 1 species
ACAUACGAUCAUAGACUGGUGAGAACUAGGCAUCCCGUCCGCUCUGCCAUACACAAACAAGCACCAGAUCGGCAGAUUGGUGGUUGGGUGGGUGACCACCCGCGAAUACCUGCUGGUGUAUGUU